CAAAUACUGGCUUGGUCGUGGCCACCAUGUCAAAUGCCAGGGCUCCAGAGAUGACAACAACAGGGUCCCUACCCUCAGGGGAUCAUAUCCUACCAGGGGAGAUAGAGAGGUGAACAAACAGGACAAAUACAGGUUGACAAGUGCUAAGAGAGAAGUCAGAGGCUGUGGGAACAGAGAGGAGGAGUAUCUAACCAGCCUGGAGUAUCUGGAAGACUUCCUGAAGGAGGAGAAAACACCUGGGCUAAAUCUUAAAGGAAGACCAGAAGCUACCCAGGGAAAGAAGUGAAGGAAGGCAUUAUAAACAGAGAGGCCAGGAGAUUCCAGCCUCAGCAUUCCCAGAGAAGGCCCAGGAUCUCCCUGAGAGGCCCAGUUGGUGUUUGUGGAAUCAUCACUCCUCUGGUGAUCACGCAGUUUGCCUCACUUUCUCCAUGGAGCUCUUUGCUAAAGGACAUUCUCCUCCAGCUGUGAAGGAAAAGCCCAACAAAAGGCAGGGUACUUUGUUCUAACUGAGGAUGUCUACUGACACAGCCAAGCUGUAAAGCAGACCACGGACGGCAGUGCAGCGGGGAGAACAACUCUACAUCUGGUUGGAGGUGGAGUAAUGUCCAGUCUGGGCACAGAGAGAUGGCAGGUGUGCAGCUGCACUCAGCAUGGGAUAGAGCACCACCUGCCAGGCCAGAACAGAAAGAAGGGCGACGGAGACUGGCAGAGAAACAGCAAUUACUGCUCAGUGAGAAGUAAACAGCGUCUGCUUCCAGAGGCUUUACGGACCAGAAAGCCCACAGGAAAUAGCUCCUGCUUCCCAGCCUGGAGGUCCUCAUGCACUAGCCCUCCCUGCUACAAUUUUGAUGGUUUUUCGCAUAUUUACAGAAUUGUGCAACCAUCACCAUGAUCAGUCUUAGAAGAGUUAAUCACCCCUGACCCCAGAAAACUCUGUAUUCAUUAGCAGUCACUCCCUUUCCCCUUUCCACCCCUCUCCAACAUUAGGCAACCACUAAUCUACUCUCUGUCUCCAUAAACUGGUCUAUUUUGGACAUUUCACAUAAGCCUCCCUGGAUCCCAGUUUAAGCAUCCUGGGGUUUGUCUGCCUGCCAGAGCCAUGGUGCCACUGGGGCUACCUGUCCUGUGGGAUGACAAGGCAGGUCCAAACCUUUGCCUGCUCUCCCAUCCAUUCCUUUUGUGUUAGUCCAUGUGUCUCCCGACUGUUCUCUCCAACAACAACACAGACUGACAAAACCUACUGACUUGGAGUCAGGAACAGACUUUGCUAUUUUCUGGCUGUGUGAUCCUGAUGAGUCCCUUGAACCUCCUGGACUUGUUCCUCAGCCUAAAAACCAAGACUAAUAAAUCAAGUCUAUCUCACAGCCUUACGUGGGGAUCAAAAAACAUGGAGCAUGUGAACACACAUUGUACAUCACGAAGCUGUAUGCAAAUAAAUAUCGUGUAACUCCAGCCCUUUUUGAGUUUAUAAAUAAAAGUGAAAACCUCAUAACCCUAAGUCCUCCCCUUCCUUGCCUCUAUUCCUCUGUGCUCGUUGGUCUGUGUGCCUACUACACAGCUGCCAAGGAUAACUCAAGAGACCCAGCCAUGAGAAGCAAGAAGAGAAGAGCUGACUACUUUCCAGUCCAGUGUCCCUAGAUGAAAAAAACAAAAUGAUCAGCCCUGGGCUGGGUAACCUGUUGCCCGAAAAGUGCUGGCCCUGCCACAAUACACAGGCACCAUGCAAUGACCAACGGACUUCGGGCUGGGGCAGUCCUGGGUAAAGCGCUGGCUCUGUUAUGCCAUCUCUGCCAACGUAAUUAACCUCCUCUCACCUGUUUCCUCACCUGUACAAUUUGGAAUAAAAAUAUUUACACCCUUGUGAGGCAUCUGCUAGGAUCGCCCGACAUAAGGGCUCAGCACAGAGCCUGGCUAAUGAUAAACAAUGAAUUGCAGCCACUGUGAUUAAUGCUGUCAUGGUUGUAAUGAUUACUGCUGUUAUCAGAGAAGGAGA
rnacentral:lncRNA from 10 species